GGAAGUGUAGCAUACUGUUUAGUGCACCUCAUUGAAAUUGAGGAAGGAGGUUUAAAGACUCGCUUCCG
rnacentral:tRNA from 1 species